UCGGGGAUAACACCUGGAAACAGAAUGCUAUACCGGAUAACAACAGAUGAUGCCUAUCAACUGUUUAAAAAGAAUGGUUCUGCUAUCACUCUUGGGAUGGACCUGCGGUGCAUUAGCUAGUUGGGUAGGGGUAACGGGCCUACCAAGGCGAUGAUGCAUAGCCCGAGUUGAGAGACUGAUCGGGCCACAUUGGGACUGAGACACGGCCCAAACUCCUACGGGAGGCAGCGGUAGGGGAAUCUUCCACAAUGGACGCAAAGUCUGAUGGAGCAAAACGCCGCGUGAGUGAAGAAGGGUUUCGGCUCGUAAAAGCUCUGUUGUUGGUGAAGAAGGACAGGGGUAGUAACUGACCCUUUGUUUGACGGUAAUCAAUUUAGAAAGUCACGGGCUAACUACGUGCCCAGCAGCCGCGGUAAAU
rnacentral:rRNA from 1 species